GAUGAACGCUGGCGGCGUGCCUAAUACAUGCAAGUCGAGCGAACAGACGAGGAGCUUGCUCCUCUGACGUUAGCGGCGGACGGGUGAGUAACACGUGGAUAACCUACCUAUAAGACUGGGAUAACUUCGGGAAACCGGAGCUAAUACCGGAUAAUAUGUUGAAUCGCAUGGUUCAACAGUGAAAGACGGUCUUGCUGUCACUUAUAGAUGGAUCCGCGCCGCAUUAGCUAGUUGGUAAGGUGACGGCUUACCAAGGCAACGAUGCGUAGCCGACCUGAGAGGGUGAUCGGCCACACUGGAACUGAGACACGGUCCAGACUCCUACGGGAGGCAGCAGUAGGGAAUCUUCCGCAAUGGGCGAAAGCCUGACGGAGCAACGCCGCGUGAGUGAAGAAGGUCUUCGGAUCGUAAAACUCUGUUAUUAGGGAAGAACAAAUGUGUAAGUAACUAUGCACGUCUUGACGGUACCUAAUCAGAAAGCCACGGCUAACUACGUG
rnacentral:rRNA from 1 species